AUUGAACGCUGGCGGCAGGCCUAACACAUGCAAGUCGAGCGGAUGAAGGGAGCUUGCUCCUGGAUUCAGCGGCGGACGGGUGAGUAAUGCCUAGGAAUCUGCCUGGUAGUGGGGGAUAACGUCCGGAAACGGGCGCUAAUACCGCAUACGUCCUGAGGGAGAAAGUGGGGGAUCUUCGGACCUCACGCUCUCAGAUGAGCCUAGGUCGGAUUAGCUAGUUGGUGGGGUAAAGGCCUACCAAGGCGACGAUCCGUAACUGGUCUGAGAGGAUGAUCAGUCACACUGGAACUGAGACACGGUCCAGACUCCUACGGGAGGCAGCAGUGGGGAAUAUUGGACAAUGGGCGAAAGCCUGAUCCAGCGAUGCCGCGUGUGUGAAGAAGGUCUUCGGAUUGUAAAGCACUUUAAGUUGGGAGGAAGGGCAGUAAGUUAAUACCUUGCUGUUUUGACGUUACCAACAGAAUAAGCACCGGCUAACUUCGUG
rnacentral:rRNA from 1 species